rnacentral:rRNA from 1 species
UACGUAGGGGGCGAGCGUUGUCCGGAAUUAUUGGGCGUAAAGCGCGCGUAGGCGGCCCGGUAAGUCCGUUGUGAAAGUCAAAGGCUCAACCUUUGAACGCCGAUGGAUACUGCCGGGCUAGAGUCCGGAAGAGGCGAGUGGAAUUCCUGGUGUAGCGGUGGAAUGCGCAGAUAUCAGGAGGAACACCAAUAGCGAAGGCAGCUCGCUGGGACGGUACUGACGCUGAGGCGCGAAAGCGUGGGGAGCGAACAGG